rnacentral:rRNA from 1 species
UUUGAUCCUGGCUCAGAACGAACGCUGGCGGCGUGGAUAAGACAUGCAAGUCGAACGGGAACUUUCGGUGUAGCAAUACACUGAAAGUUCUAGUGGCGAACGGGUGCGUAACACGUGGACAAUCUGCCUUAAAGUGGGGGAUAGCUCGGCGAAAGCCGAAUUAAUACCGCAUGUGAUCAGGGGGGACAUCCUCCCGAAAUUAAAGACGGCGCAAGCUGUCGCUUUUUGUGGAGUCCGCGGCCUAUCAGCUUGUUGGUGAGGUAACGGCUCACCAAGGCUUUGACGGGUAGCUGGUCUGAGAGGACGACCAGCCACACUGGAACUGAGACACGGUCCAGACACCUACGGGUGGCAGCAGUCGAGAAUUUUUCUCAAUGGGGGAAACCCUGAAGGAGCGACGCCGCGUGGAGGAUGAAGGUCUUCGGGUUGUAAACUCCUGUCAUUUGGGAACAAGUUGCACACGUUAACUGCGUGGGCAUUGAUAGUACCAGAAGAGGAAGAGACGGCUAACUCUGUGCCAGCAGCCGCGGUAAUACAGAGGUCUCAAGCGUUGUUCGGAUUCAUUGGGCGUAAAGGGUGCGUAGGUGGCGCCGUAAGUCAGGUGUGAAAUCUCGGGGCUUAACUCCGAAACUGCAUUGAUACUGCGGUGCUUGAGGACUGGAGAGGAGACUGGAAUUUACGGUGUAGCAGUGAAAUGCGUAGAGAUCGUAAGGAAGACCAGUGGCGAAAGCGGGUCUCUGGACAGUUCCUGACACUGAGGCAC